GCCUGGCUGGCUCAGUUAGUAGAGCAUGCGAUUCUUGAUCUUACGGUUGUUGAGUUCAAGCCCCACGUUGGGCA
rnacentral:tRNA from 1 species